rnacentral:rRNA from 1 species
UACGUAGGGACGAGCGUUGUCCGGAGUUAUUGGGCGUAAAGCGCGCGCAGGCGGCUUCGCGCGCCCCGACGUGAAAGCCCCCGGCUUAACCGGGGAGAGUCGUUGGGGACGGCGGGGCUUGAGGGCGGGAGAGGUCGGUGGAAUUCCCGGUGUAGUGGUGAAAUGCGUAGAGAUCGGGAGGAACACCUGUGGCGAAGGCGGCCGACUGGGCCGACCCUGACGCUGAGGCGCGAAGGCGUGGGGAGCGAACGGG